rnacentral:rRNA from 1 species
CCUACGGGUGGCAGCAGUGGGGAAUAUUGCGCAAUGGGCGAAAGCCUGACGCAGCGACGCCGCGUGAGGGAUGAAGGUCUUCGGAUCGUAAACCUCUGUCAGCAGGGAAGAACGGUCACUGUGCUAAUCAGCAGUAAGUUGACGGUACCUGCAAGGGAGCCACCGCCUAACUCCGUGCCAGCCGCCGCGGUAAUACGGAGGGUGCGAGCGUUAGGCGCAAUUACUGGGCGUAAAGCGCUCGUAGGCGGUAUGUCAAUUCAAGGGUGAAAUCCCCGCGCUCAACGUGGGAACUGCCUUUGAAACUGGCAAACUGGAGUGUGUGAGAGGAUAGUGGAAUUCCAGGUGUAGGAGUGAAAUGCGUAGAUAUCUGGAGGAACAUCAGUGGCGAAGGCGACUAUCUGGCACAUAACUGACGCUGAGGAGCGAAAGCGUGGGUAGCAAACAGGAUUAGAUACCCCUGUAGUC